rnacentral:rRNA from 1 species
AACGAACGCUGGCGGCACGUUUUAAGCAUGCAAGUCGAAUGGCAGUGGGGGCAACCCCAUGAGAAUGGCGAACGGGUGAGUAACACGUAGGUGAUCUGCCUGACGGCUGGGGCUCGCUUGUGGAAACACAGGGUAAUACCGAAUGACCUGACGAGACUUUGGUUUUGUUAGUAAAGGUGCUACGGCACCGCCGACAGAGGCGCCUGCGGCUGAUUAGCUGGUUGGUGGGGUAACGGCCUACCAAGGGGACGAUCAGUAGCCGGCCUGAGAGGGUGUACGGCCACACUGGAACUGAGACACGGUCCAGACGCCUACGGGAGGCAGCAGCUAAGAAGCUUCCGCAAUGGGCGAAAGCCUGACGGAGCGAUGCCGCGUGAUCGAUGAAGGUCGAGAGAUUUUAAAGAUCGUUUCUACAUGAGGAAUAAGUCUGGGAGGGAAUGCCUGGAUGAUGACGUUAGUGUAGGAAUAAGCCCCGGCUAAUUACGUGCCAGCCGCCGCAGUAA